rnacentral:tRNA from 1 species
UAUAGUAUAGUAUUAUGUAAUACACUAGGUUUAAACUCUAGAAAAGACAACGUCUACUAUAA